rnacentral:lncRNA from 1 species
CCAGUCCAGGAUCCAAAGGGAUUAAGAGGAGCAUUUGCUCUGCUCUGAAAGGGCCUUUUUUCCCCACUCUAGUUUCUAACUUCCCAUUACACACACUCCCUCUGCAAGGCACCGCGCCAAUGGAGCCGGUUCACUCUGUUCUCUCCUUGAUGACAGCUGUCAGUCUGUCGCCGCCUGAACAUGCAACAUUUCAACAAAAUCCAAAGCGGAACUGGAAGGGCAGGGGCUGAAGCACACAGCCUGAUCUCCUUCCUGGAGGUCCCAGACUCCUUAACCAUCACUUUUCAACCUGCUUAAGGUUAGAACCACCUCACUCUUCACUAACAGAGUUGAGGCAGCUUCUGUCUCCUCAGAACCUGGGCAUUCCCACACAGUGUAAUUAAGCAACAUUCCUGGAAAUCAUCCUAAGAAGAAAGAGCCCGCAAGUCCCCGUGUAACUUCAGCACGAACGCGGAGGGUGCUAAACCAGGCAUUCUAAAGGAUGUGAUGUGAUAACUAAUAAUAGCUUGGAUCUGCUAUUGGAAAACUAUUAAGAAUAGCAAUAACCACUACAAUUUGUUAAAGCUGCUCAACAUGAAGACGCAGAUGAAGACCUUUAUGAUGAUCCACUUCCACUUAAUGAAUAGCAAACAUAUUUUCUCCUCCUUAUGAUUUUCUUAAUAAAAUUUUCUUUUCUCUUACUUUAUUGUAAGAAUACAGUAUAUAAUUAACAAAGUAUGCCUUAAUUGACUAUUUAUUUGAUCAGUAAAACUUGUAGUUAAGAAUAGGCUAUUAGUAGUUAAGUUUGGGGUAGCCAAAAGUUAUAUAUGGAUUUUCAACGGCACAGGGGCUGGUCCUCCUAAACCUUGCAUUAUUCAAGGAUCAACAGUAUUUUACCAUACUACACAUUUUAUUCAUAUUUUAGAGUGUAGUACUUCUACUCAUUAAAAAACAUUAACUAUAAAACGGCCUCAGGCAGGUCUUUCAGGAGUUAUUCCAGAAGAAAGCAUUGUUAUCAUAGGAGACGACAGCUGCAUGCAUAUUAUUGUCCCUGAAGACCCUGAGGACCUUUCACUGGGACAAGAUGUGGAGAUGGAAGACAGUGAUAUUGAUUAUCCUGACCCUUAUAGGGCUAAGCUAGUGUGUGUGUUUGUAUCUUAGUUUUUAACAAAAAAAUUUAAAACAUAAAAAAAUAAAGCUUAUAGAAUAAGGAUAUAAAGAAUUUCUG